AAAUACUCUAUAUAAACUGUUAGGAGGCUCCCGCGCCAGUCCGGACAUGUUCUUGUGGCUGCUGGAGAAACCUUCACAUAUUUGGAGAACAAAGGAAGCAAAGAGAAUAAUUUAAUAGAUGCCAUCUUAGUUUCCGAGAGCUGCCACAAUGAAUUAUCACAAACUGGAUGGCUUAAAGCAAUAGGAAUUGGUCCUCUCACAGUUUGGAGGCUAGAAGUCCAGAAUCAAGACAGACAUUGGCAGAGCUGUGUUGCCUCUGAACACCCAAGGAUCAUACCACUCCUGCGAUAUGGGUCAGAGACCACUUACAGGAAUAUUGUAUUCUAUGGGAACUAACUCACGUCUGGAGCCAAAACCCAACUAGAAGUUGAGCAAUUCUGCUCAUAAGGAGUUAAUACCUAAAACAACAAAGAACUGUCACAACUAACGUAUGUGAGAUACUAUCCCAUCCUGGUUUUGAUUUACACUUCCCUGGCGAUUAAUAAUAUUGAGCAUCUUUUUUAUGUACCUGUUGGCCAUGUGUACAUUGCCUUUGGAAAAAUACUCAGGUCCUCUGCCAUUUUUUAAGUAAGUUAUUUUUUGUUCAUACUGAGUUGUAUAGUUCUUUAUAUUUUUUAGCUUUUAACCCCUUAUGAGGUAAGUUUUGCACGUAUUUUCUCCAGUUCUAUAGUUUGCCUUUUCAUUUUGCUGAUUGUUUCUUUUAUUGUGCAAAAGCUUUUUUGAUUGAUGUGCUACUUUGUUUUUUUAUUUGUGCUUUUGGUGUUGUAUUCAGGGAAUCACUGCCAAGACCAAUUCAGGGGAGAUUUUUUAUCUGUUUUCUUCUAGGAGUUUUACAGUUUCAGAUUUUAUGUUUAAAUCUUUAAUCUUUUUCAAGCAAUUUCUGAGGUGUUUAGGGGUCCAAUUUCAUUCUUAUGCAUGUAAUUAUCCAAUUUUCCCAGCACCAUAAAGUUUAUCCUUUGCCUGUUAAAAUAGUCUUGGCCCUCUUGGCAAAUGUUAGUUGACUCUAUAUAUGGAGGUUUAUUUCUGGACUCUAGAUAUGUGUUUAUUUUUCUGCCAGUACUAUACAUUUUUGAUUAACAUAGCUUUAUAAUGUAAUUUGAAAUUGACAAGUACGAUGCCUCAGGUUUUUGUUUUUUUUUUAUCUUAGGAUUGCUUUGGCUAUUAAAGGUCAUUUGUGCCUCCAUAAAAAUUUUAGGAUGGUCUUAUCUAUUUAAAUAAAAAUUCCCUUUGGAAUUUUGGUAGGAAUUGCAUUGAAGUUAUUGAUGACUUUGGAUAUUAUGGACAUUUCAACAGUAUUUUUCCAAUCCAUGAACACAAGCUAUCUUUCUAUUACUUUAUCUUCAAUUUCACUCAUCAAAUUCUUAUACUUUGUGGUAUAUGAUCUUUCACCACAUUGUUAAACUUAUUCCUAAGUACUUUAGUGUUUUUGAUGCUAUUGUAAAUGGGAUUGUUUUCUGUCUUUAUUUUUUGGAUAUUUUGUUGUUAGUGUAUAGAAAUGAAACUGUUUACUGUAUAUUGGUUUGGUAUUCUGCAACUUCACUGAAUUUGUUGAUUAGUUCUAGAUAGUUUUUUUUGGUCGAGUCUUCUGAGUUUCUAUAUAUAUCA